rnacentral:rRNA from 1 species
AACGAACGCUGGCGGCAGGCUUAACACAUGCAAGUCGAACGCCCCGCAAGGGGAGUGGCAGACGGGUGAGUAACACGUGGGAACGUACCCUUCGGUUCGGAAUAACACAGAGAAAUUUGUGCUAAUACCGGAUACGUCCGAGAGGAGAAAGAUUUAUCGCCGAAGGAUCGGCCCGCGUCUGAUUAGCUAGUUGGUGAGGUAAUGGCUCACCAAGGCGACGAUCAGUAGCUGGUCUGAGAGGAUGAUCAGCCACACUGGGACUGAGACACGGCCCAGACUCCUACGGGAGGCAGCAGUGGGGAAUAUUGGACAAUGGGCGAAAGCCUGAUCCAGCCAUGCCGCGUGAGUGAUGAAGGCCCUAGGGUUGUAAAGCUCUUUUACCUGGGAAGAUAAUGACUGUACCAGGAGAAUAAGCCCCGGCUAACUUCGUG